AAAUCUCAUAUACAAGUUAUAGUGUCUGUUUGAAACCAUAGCUCCUGUGUAUGCUGCAUGGAGUGGAUGUAAGGAAAGCAUAAGAUUAUACCAUAUAUAUCUUGUGACUUUCUUAUUAUCCUACCCUUGAUUCCUUUCCAACCUAUCUCUUUGUCUUCAUGAAUAGCAUGCCUAAUUAUAUAAAAUCAUGCGAGUAUCUACUACAUCGGGC
rnacentral:lncRNA from 1 species